GGGAAGCCGGUGAAAAUCCGGCGCGGUCCGCGCCACUGUGAGGAGGAGCGACCCCACUUAAUGCCACUGGGAAUACCCCGGGAAGGCGUGGGGAAGCGGUGAAUCCGAGCCAGGAUACC
rnacentral:ncRNA from 2 species